rnacentral:rRNA from 1 species
AUUGAACGCUGGCGGCAGGCCUAACACAUGCAAGUCGAACGAGGCGCGGACGGGUGAGUAAUGUCUGGGAAACAGCCCGAUGGAGGGGGAUAACUACUGGAAACGGUAGAUAAUACCGCAUACCAACGGAUGUGCCCAGAUGGGAUUAGCUAGGAGGUGGGGUAAUGGCGCACCUAGGCGACGAUCCCUAGCUGGUCUGAGAGGAUGACCAGCCACACUGGAACUGAGACACGGUCCAGACUCCUACGGGAGGCAGCAGUGGGGAAUAUUGCACAAUGGGCGCAAGCCUGAUGCAGCCAUGCCGCGUGUAUGAAGAAGGCCUUCGGGUUGUAAAGUACUUUCAGCGAGGAGGCGUUACUCGCAGAAGAAGCACCGGCUAACUCCGUGCCAGCAGCCGCGGUAAUUC